AGCGGCGGACGGGUGAGUAACACGUGGGUAACCUGCCUGUAAGACUGGGAUAACUCCGGGAAACCGGGGCUAAUACCGGAUGCUUGUUUGAACCGCAGGUUCAAACAUAAAAGGUGGCUUCGGCUACCACUUACAGAUGGACCCGCGGCGCAUAGCUAGUUGGUGAGGUAACGGCUCACCAAGGCAACGAUGCGUAGCCGACCUGAGAGGGUGAUCGGCCACACUGGGACUGAGACACGGCCCAGACUCCUACGGGAGGCAGCAGUAGGGAAUCUUCCGCAAUGGACGAAAGUCUGACGGAGCAACGCCGCGUGAGUGAUGAAGGUUUUCGGAUCGUAAAGCUCUGUUGUUAGGGAAGAACAAGUACCGUUCGAAUAGGGCGGUACCUUGACGGUACCUAACCAGAAAGCCACGGCUAACUACGUGCCAGCAGCCGCGGUAAUACGUAGGUGGCAAGCGUUGUCCGGAAUUAUUGGGCGUAAAGGGCUCGCAGGCGGUUUCUUAAGUCUGAUGUGAAAGCCCCCGGCUCAACCGGGGAGGGUCAUUGGAAACUGGGGAACUUGAGUGCAGAAGAGGAGAGUGGAAUUCCACGUGUAGCGGUGAAAUGCGUAGAGAUGUGGAGGAACACCAGUGGCGAAGGCGACUCUCUGGUCUGUAACUGACGCUGAGGAGCGAAAGCGUGGGGAGCGAACAGGAUUAGAUACCCUGGUAGUCCACGCCGUAAACGAUGAGUGCUAAGUGUUAGGGGGUUUCGCCCCCUUAGUGCUGCAGCUAACGCAUUAAGCACUCCGCCUGGGGAGUACGGUCGCAAGACUGAAACUCAAAGGAAUUGACGGGGGC
rnacentral:rRNA from 1 species